GGCGUUAGACAGAGCAAAAUAAUAACUGAGUAGGGUGCAUUAGGAUGCGUUGCCACUUGAUUAUCAGUCAUAAAGAUUAAAAUAUUAAAGUAGGGAGCAGGGUUAGUAUAGUUGAAAUUUACCCUUAUAAUUCUAAAUAAUAAAAUUCUUUCUACCAUGCAUUAUAUAGGAUACUGUGAACCAUGUAACGUGACAUACGAAGAUCUCAAUGAACACUUAAAUGGAUCACAACACAAAAUUUACGCACGCAAUCACGCUAACUUUAGAUCUCUUGACAAGCUUAUCGGGCGAGGUCCGAGUGUCGAGGAUUUACGACAGGCUACGAAAAGGAAGCGAGCGCCUGCGACGAACUAUAAGCUGUGAACAGUGAAGUGAGACAAUUUAUUAAAUGUCAGAAACUUGGUUUUACGUUUUACAUCAAUAUAUAAGCCGCACGAGAGGCAAGCACAUCCUAUACAUCCAACACUGACAUGAAUAAAAUAAAUUAUAUUCAAUUUUAAGAGGCUUUUAUAUUUUUUCCAUGUAGUGUAUUUGCGCAAGAGUGGGUAGUAGCGAAGUAGUUGUAGUUCGCUACUGUAGCGAACUACAAUUUUCAAGUAGCCAGUAGUUUUUGACUACAUUUUUAAAACAGUAGCUGUAGUUAUAGCGAA